rnacentral:tRNA from 1 species
GUGGGUAUAGCUCAGUGGUAGAAUGCAUGUUUAGCAUGCAUGAGAUACUGGGUUCAAUCCCCAGUGUCUCCA